GACGGCCUAUGGGUUGUAAACUUCUUUUUUCAGGGAGGAAUCAAUGACGUGUACCUGAAGAAUAAGCAUCGGCUAACUCCGUGCCAGCAGCCGCGGUAAGACGGAGGAUGCAAGUGUUAUCCGGAAUCACUGGGCGUAAAGCGUCUGUAGGUGGUUUAAUAAGUCAACUGUUAAAUCUUGGGGCUCAACCUCAAAACCGCAGUCGAAACUAUCAGGCUAGAGUAUAGUAGGGGUAAAGGGAAUUUCCAGUGGAGCGGUGAAAUGCGUAGAGAUUGGAAGGAACACCGAUGGCGAAGGCACUUUACUGGGCUAUUACUAACACUCAGAGACGAAAGCUAGGGUAGCAAAUGGGAUUAGAUACCCCAGUAGUCCUAGCUGUAAACAAUGGAUACUAGAUGUUGAACAGAUCGACCUGUGCAGUAUCAAAGCUAACGCGUUAAGUAUCCCGCCUGGGAAGUAUGCUCGCAAGAGUGAAACUCAAAGGAAUUGACGGA
rnacentral:rRNA from 1 species